rnacentral:lncRNA from 1 species
UGAAUGAAUUCUGAAAAAUGGAAUACUUAAGAGGAAAUUUCUCUAUCAUAUCAAAGUCAAUCAACAUUAGAGCCUUUCAAUACCUAUAGCCUUUCCAGCACUGAAUCAAACAUGUAAAGAGUUAACUGCCCUGAGGAGCACAUAAAAGGAAUUUAAAUGACCUAGUAAAAUGAACAAACAGGUUAUAUGAACUGCAUCCUCCUCUUCUCAACACAUGGAUUAAAUAAAACUUCCCUUCCAAAAAGGGAUCUGAAAGUUAAACCACACUAGGGUGUGAUUGACAACAAUCUUGAUAGUUCACUUUUCAAAAUAUUGGCAAGUUAAGUUUCAGAAGGCUUAAAUCAAAAGAUUGAUUCAAAAAUGCUAUGAAGCAAAGAAUUCUUGGAUAAUUUCUCCUGAAUCUCUGGAUACAGUCCUUGUUGGCUUCUCCUCGCUGCCUCAGGUAUCACCAUGACAGCAUAAUUUCCCAUUUUUCCAUAUUAAAAUACCAAUAUGCUUGGGAGAGAACAUUUAGUUUGCCUUAUUAGCUAAUAAAACACCAUUUGAAUAUAUAUGAUCCUUUCCUGUCUGAAAAUUAAUCAAAA